GAUGAACGCUGGCGGCGUGCCUAAUACAUGCAAGUCGAGCGAACAGACGAGGAGCUUUCUCCUCUGACGUUAGCGGCGGACGGGUGAGUAACACGUGGAUAACCUACCUAUAAGACUGGGAUAACUUCGGGAAACCGGAGCUAAUACCGGAUAAUAUAUUAAACCGCAUGGUUCAAUAGUUAAAUACGGUUUUGCUGUCACUUAUAGAUGGAUCCGCGCCGCAUUAGCUAGUUGGUAAGGUAACGGCUUACCAAGGCAACGAAGCGUAGCCGACCUGAGAGGGUGAUCGACCACACUGGAACUGAGACACGGUCCAGACUCCUACGGGAGGCAGCAGUAGGGAAUCUUCCGCAAUGGGCGAAAGCCUGACGGAGCAACGCCGCGUGAGUGAUGAAGGUCUUCGGAUCGUAAAACUCUGUUAUUAGGGAAGAACAAAUGUGUAAGUAACUAUGCACGUCUUGACGGUACCUAAUCAGAAAGCCACGGCUAACUACGUG
rnacentral:rRNA from 1 species